UACACUCCUGCGGGAGGCAGCAGUGGGGAAUUUUGGACAAUGGGCGAAAGCCUGAUCCAGCAAUGCCGCGUGAGUGAAGAAGGCCUUCGGGUUGUAAAGCUCUUUUGUCAGGGAAGAAACGGUGAAAGCUAAUAUCUUUUGCUAAUGACGGUACCUGAAGAAUAAGCACCGGCUAACUACGUGCCAGCAGCCGCGGUAAUACGUAGGGUGCAAGCGUUAAUCGGAAUUACUGGGCGUAAAGCGUGCGCAGGCGGUUUUGUAAGUCUGAUGUGAAAUCCCCGGGCUCAACCUGGGAAUUGCAUUGGAGACUGCAAGGCUAGAAUCUGGCAGAGGGGGGUAGAAUUCCACGUGUAGCAGUGAAAUGCGUAGAUAUGUGGAGGAACACCGAUGGCGAAGGCAGCCCCCUGGGUCAAGAUUGACGCUCAUGCACGAAAGCGUGGGGAGCAAACAGGAUUAGAAACCCCGGUAGUCCCAUGAU
rnacentral:rRNA from 1 species